CCUACGGGGUGCACCAGUAGGGAAUCUUCGGCAAUGGACGAAAGUCUGACCGAGCAACGCCGCGUGAGUGAAGAAGGUUUUCGGAUCAUAAAACUCUGUUGUUAGAGAAGAACAAGUAGGAGAGUAACUGCUCUUACCUUGACGGUAUCUAACCAGAAAGCCACGGCUAACUACGUGCCAGCAGCCGCGGUAAUACGUAGGUGGCAAGCGUUGUCCGGAUUUAUUGGGCGUAAAGCGAGCGCAGGCGGUUUCUUAAGUCUGAUGUGAAAGCCCCCGGCUCAACCGGGGAGGGUCAUUGGAAACUGGGAGACUUGAGUGCAGAAGAGGAGAGUGGAAUUCCACGUGUAGCGGUGAAAUGCGUAGAGAUGUGGAGGAACACCAGUGGCGAAGGCGACUCUCUGGUCUGUAACUGACGCUGAGGAGCGAAAGCGUGGGGAGCGAACAGGAUUAGAUACCCGCGUAGUC
rnacentral:rRNA from 1 species